UACGUAGGGGGCAAGCGUUGUCCGGAAUUAUUGGGCGUAAAGAGCUCGUAGGCGGUUUAGCAAGUCGGGUGUGAAAACUCCGGGCUCAACCCGGAGACGCCACUCGAUACUGCUAUGACUUGAGUCCGGUAGGGGAGUGCGGAAUUCCUGGUGUAGCGGUGAAAUGCGCAGAUAUCAGGAGGAACACCGGUGGCGAAGGCGGCACUCUGGGCCGGUACUGACGCUGAGGAGCGAAAGCGUGGGGAGCGAACAGG
rnacentral:rRNA from 1 species